UUCUCGAAUUUGAAAGAGCUACUUAUUUUAUUGUUAUGAAUAUUUUUAAUAUGCAUUGAAAUGUUAAUAUAUCUAGUUUUCUAAGAAAGUUUAAUUUUUUUAUGAUUAAUGGGAUGAGCUUUAAAUAGGAUUAGAAUUUUUGUUAUAUUUUUUCUAUUAGAAUGAUUUUGGUAAUUUUUUUUGUAAUAAUGAUUGGAUUAGUAUAAGGUAAGGAAAAGGAAUUCGGCAAUUAUUUUUCACCUGUUUAUUAAAAACAUGGCCUUUUGAAUUUAAUUUAAGGUCUGACCUGCCCGCUGAGGCCGCGGUAUUUUGACCGUGCAAAGGUAGCAUAAUAAUUAGUUUUUUAAUUGGAAGCUGGAAUGAAUGGUUGGAUGAGAAAAUAGCUGUCUCUUUUUUAUAGAAUUUUAUUUUUGAGUCAAAAAGCUUAAAUUUUAUUAAAAGACGAGAAGACCCUAUAGAGUUUUAUUUUGAUUGGGGCGAUCGAAAAAUUAAUAAAACUUUUGAUUAUAAGAUUAAAUUACCUUAGGGAUAACAGCGUAAUCUUUCUUAGAGUUCUAAUCGAAAGAAGGGUUUGCGACCUCGAUGUUGGAUUAAAAUUUAUUUUGGUGUAGAAGCU
rnacentral:rRNA from 1 species